CGAAGUUGUCCGAUGGGGACUAAGGCUGAAAAUAUUCCUAAACUCAUUUUCUUUUUCCUCUGGAGGGAGAUAAGAGUAAACAUGAAUCAUUCUUCUAAAAGUUUGAGAAGCGUUUUGUUCCAAGAAGAAAUAUGUAAUUUUUUUUUUCUUCUUACAGUAACAAGUUCACAGAAAGCUUCAGGAGGCUUUUACAAAGGCUUGUAACCACUUUGAAGCUGGAAACUGUUUUUAUAUACGUACAGCACUUGCGUAACAAGGUCUUGACAGUGAAUGGGAUUCCUGGGUGCAGUUGCAAUAAAGUGAUUAAUAGUAUCAUUCAUGGUAUCAUACCUCACUCAUAGGUUUCCUGUAAGUUAAGAGGAAUACAUUGGCAGGAACACACUGGUUGUGACUUUAAACACGAUACUCUUGGGGGGAAAGUUACAGCUAACACAUGCACUGAAGGGCAGUGCAAUUAGUAAAGCUACGUAAAGGGCUAAAGAAAACAAUUUUUAGAGCAAAAGGUGUGGAAAAACAGGACCACAAAGAUCUAGUUCUGAGCUAGUUCUGUGGCACAGAGAAAGCUAAGUGGAUAUUGCCACACAGGUGGUGAAACCAAGGACAGAAAACAAGAUGUGUCUGUCAAAGGGAUGGGUCAGGGGUGAUCACUAUUCAGAAAUACACAAGUUGGGUGUGCGUUUGUUUGUUUUUUUUGUUUUUAUUUUUUUAAUCUGGACAGAGGGAGGACUGAUUUUGUCACCAAAAUGUUUGUCACUUGCUUGUGGCACAAAUCACUGAGAAGGCCAGGCAAGAUGCAAAAGAGGGUGCAGAGCACUUGUCAAAGGAGAAGUAAAUGUUCUGGCUGUGGGCUGCAGCAGCUUGGGAUGCAUUUGGAGCCUCAAGAGAAGUGACAAGAUUUUGGGUCAAUAUUCCCUAAAAAGCGGCUUAUUUCAUUUGAAAGCAAAUAAUGGGUCAAUAUUUCUGCUUAUUUCGUUUGGGGAUUAAGUUGUUAAACAGCUACCACGCGGCUGAAGCAUGGAGAAAUGUGCGCGGGGUGAUAAAAUACGACCUAGUGUUUCACUGUACCAGCAUCCCAUGAUUAGCUCAAACGAGACAUUUAGCUCGGUCCAAGAAAACAUCAGCCCUCGGGAACAGGCGGGGUGAGUAACACAGGAUCGCUUGGGCUGCGUCCCUGCCCAGCCUCAAAACACUCCCUGGCCAGCGCUGCUCCUAUUUUUAAUCGCUGCGCUAUGAAAAGCCCCGUUUCUCAGCACCUGACCUGGCGCUGCGCAGGCACGGACUCGGCAGCGCGUUUAUCACGCGGCUGUCAUCGCUUUUGAGGAAACGGGCCCAGGGCGUUUCGGAUGUUGUCCUAAAGCCACCCGGUGCGACAGGCACAGCGUGGCCUUUCUGCACCGGGGCAGCUCCUGCUGCGAGGCGCAGGCAAAGCGAUCCACCCACGAGAGCUGGACCCGAGGGGAUUUUUGCCCAGAGCUGAAUGGCACCCCGAAGUUGCAUUUAUUAAAUUGCCUCCCGUCUUGUUUACAUUGUUUCACAGGGAGGUGUUUACCCGCCCGAAAAGCUGAAAUGUUUCCUCUACUUGCAACACAAAAGCGCAGGACUCGGCGCACGUUACAGAGCUCUGGUGCAAUUAAAGGGACCCGUUUCCAGACUUCUUAAGCAAAACUCCCAUUACUUGCAACAGGUGGGGACUGUGUGCUGCGGCCUCGAGGCAGCAAACUGGUUCAUGGGCUUCACUUUCCAUGUUGGUCCCUAAAGCUACUUGCAGAAAAUCACCCAAAGAAACUCCUGGGAUCCCAGCCUCUACCUCCCCGUUUCAAAAUGCAUGGGUCACAGUGCCAAAGGACUGCCUGAUGUUUGAGGUUCCUUUCAGUUGCCACUGAAAUCAUUGGAAUUCAGCUCUUCAGUGUUUGGGAAGACCUGCCACAAUAGCAGUCCCCUGUUUGUAAUCAAGAGGAUUGCAAGAGCAAUCAAAUGCAUAUUGAGCUGAUGUGCAGCUCCCAGGAUUGUGGGGGGCACAGAAUCAAGCUGAGAAGUACGUGUGCCAUAGCUGUAGAAGUUGGUCCUUCUAAAGCAUUGAAAAUCCAGCUUUUCUUUCACAAGGAGAUGCUGCACGUGAGGAAUAUCACAGGUUAUAUUUAGUGUUACAGAGGCACGAGGGAGAUCUCAUUAGAGCCCAGCGACAACCAUCCGUUAUAAAGGGAACAGGAGCAAUUUCUAAGUCCUCAAAAAAUAGUGUGUCUCUGUUCUGCCCUGUCCUCACUGCCUGCUGCUGCUCUAGGACACAGCUUUCCUGAGAGAAGGAUCUGUGCCUGCCUGCUCAGUUAGCCCUGAUACAUCACGUUUUAUUUGCUGGGGGACUUGAACAAUGAGCAGCAAACACUCCUGUUCCCAUUUUAAACACAUGGAAACUGCAGUACAGAGAAAUAAAAUGACUUGCACAGAGUCACAAAGCAAUUUCAUGGCAGGGCUCAGACCAGAGUCUAGCUCCCUUGCUCCCAAACCCAUGUGCCAGCUUUUCUUUUCACUGACCCUUAAUUUUAAUCACCUUCCAAUAAAUUCUGUUGGCCUUUUCCAGUUGACUUCCAUGGGACUAAUGCCAGGUACCAAAUGAAGUCACCCAGAAUAUCGAAGCAAAAGGAGGCAGUAUUAGAUGCAAAGAAAGAACUGAUGGAAGAGGACAAGUAGAUUUUACAAAAAAGAAUAAAAAGGAGUGCCAUCCUUCCUGCAAAGUCAGAGAGGACACGUGUGAGAAAGCAGCCCUGUGUCCCAAACACUCAUCGUGUCCUGCCCAGGGACGCCACAAGGAGGAAUCACCACGGGCAGAUGUGAAUCCAUCUUUCAACCAGCCACAGCCACUUUGAAAUAAUGUAAAAGGAACCUUUCUGUGUGAAAUAUCCACCACCUUGUUUGCUCAGCCCCAACUGAAGCCAUCUGUUGGCUCUGCCAUAAGGAAGGACUGGCACCCCCAUCCAUGCCUUCAGAGGACCCCCAGGGAUGUAGGGCUCCUUUGGGAGCAGGUGCCUCUUGUAUCGGCCAGAAACAGCAGCCAAAUGUGUUAGGAGGUGUUUGUCUGUAUUUUCCAGAUGUGAAACUAGAUUGGACUGUCUGGUUUUGUCGUUGUGGGGAUCGGAUUCUGGGGCUGUGAUUUUGAAACUCCAUCCCUCAUGAUCUUGAGCAUUCUUGUGAUGGCAAGACUCAUUUUCUGCCCAGCUUUACUGCCCUCAUUCCUAAAGAUCUCACCAAUGUUGAAAUGUCUGUGGAUUUUAGAAAGGAGAAGAUGCCACAGGGUCAACAUUUAUACUAAAUAUUUAAAUAUGUACAUGUGAUUUAACUACUUCAACUGAUAUUAAUAGUAUUAAUGCCUUUUCAAGCCAGAGGUAGUCCUUUGAUCAUGUAUAUUUACUUCACACAUAAAAUAGACUGCAGGAGUUUGACCAGUUCUCUGGUACCAAAUCCAGUAGCUUGCAUAUCAUUAAUAUCUCCAAAUAUGAAAAAUUAGUAGUAUAAAUUUUGCACAGUCCUUCCAGGAUUUCAAAUCUUCGUCAAAGGCAAGAGGAAUUGUCUGAGGAAUAAGGACUUCUCAAUUCAGUGAGUGCACACUGUGCCAGAGAGGAAGAAAUGAAAUUAAACCUUCGCAACAGAUGAUCCUAUUAUAGAUGUGUGCUUGCACAGAAAGCCAGAAAAAGGGGGCUGCAGCACCUCAGCUAUAUUUUGGAGGUAUCACUGACACCCAAAGUUGCACAGCUUUGUGCUCAAAGGUAAGUAUGUUCUCCUUUCCCACCUUCUCCCCCAGGAAAAAAGGUUGCAAAGCAAAAAGCAUGGACAGGGGUUUUAUGAAGGAGUUUUGAUUGACUGGGGGUUAUUUUGCAGCACAAAAACAUCCAAGCAGUAAUGCCUUUUGAUUUGCAAAGAAUUUUUAUGUUGAACCUUGCAAAACACCUGAGGAUUACUCAGGAAGAGUGUCACAUACACCAUGUGCAAUGAUCUACACAAGGGUUGCAGAAACAGCCUUUAGAUAUAAAACAGGAAUAAGCAAAGCUUAAAUUCACUCUUUGAGAGGAAGAUAGAAGGGGUUUUGAUGUGGUAGCAUCUGAAGGUGUUGUAUUAGGACUUGCCACGCUGUACAUGCUCUGCUAAUCCAGGAUCCAUAGACAUAGGACUUUGUAUAGUCUAUGUGGAGCUCUGCACUGCCAGGCACCCAGGGCUGAUGCAAUCCCAGCUCACACACGGCUGUGCCUCUGGUUUGUGCAUGGAACUGGGAGCUUGGGGUCUUAGGGGCACACAGAGGCUGUGAGCUGUUGCUCAGGGGUGGAAUGUUUCAGCUACCUGAGUUUGGGACUGCCUCUCUGUUGUGGCAUCCCUCAGUCCAGCUGUAAAUCUCUGUGCACUGCAGGGUACAGGGAGAGCUGCACCACCAAGUGCCUGAGGUGCACCAAGAGCACCAGGGCAGGGGAAGGUCAUGAGGGCAGUGGUGGGAUUAGACUCAACUCAUUUCAGGUAUUUACAGAGUAGACCUCUAAGUGAGAGCUGUCACGCUGGGCUUUCCAGGCAGCAAGGAGAAAUAGGUGGGUUUACUAUGCCAUUCAUCUGCUCUGUUUUAACCAUCUCCUUUAGGAAGAGAUGAAUCACUGUAGACUCCAUCAACAGUAUUGAUUGGCUCUCCAUUGACUCGCAAGGGAACCACAGGUGACCUGCCCAAGUGCAGAUUUCUGCUUUACUGGGGUGAACCUGCUGAGAACUUUGUGCCCAUGGUGUAGGACUUGGCUGCUCUGAGCAUCUCAGACUGUGGCAUUUCAGUCAAUAACUACUUCAGCAAGCUUGGUAUUUUUGGAGAAGCGACACCCCUCAGGAGGAGUUUGCGGUGUUAAGUAGACAGAAGAAACAGCAGGUGGGAAACAGAGAUGCCCUGUGGUCAGUAGGAAAUAAAGUCUGUGCUUCCUGCUCCCGCAGCACGUGCCUCAAAACCUGCCUCUCUUUUAUAGCAGGUUUUCGUGUCUUCACAGAGAGAUUAGUUCAGGUGUGAACUCAUCAUACUGAUGAUAAGUUCAUGAUGACUGCUGUCAUCUCCCUCCAAACUGAAGGGGUCCUGUUGAAGCCGUAUCUCAUCCCCUGUGGCUAUUGCUGCACCUUGUCCUCAGAGCAUCAGCUGCUUCUGAGGAAGCCUUGGGUCAUCAGGAAAUAAACUGUCUGGGUCAUCAAGAAAGCAUGUGCUUGAAAGAGAGAAAAAACCCAUCAUACUGUAGGAGCAAAAAAGCAGAAAACCAGCCUACACGUGUAAGAGUGGCAGCCUCUACAGUGUGGUGUGUGUCCACACGUUGUUUCAGAAGCCAUCUCCCUUCGGCUGUGAUCACUCUCAACUGUUUGCAGUCUGUGUGCGGUGACGUGCACGGAAUAUUACUAUGAAAAUGUGCAUUCUUGUUAAUAGGUAUAGUUUAGGAUGAUUGUUAGCAGAGCAUAAGGCCUUAUUGAUUGAAAGUGGCAUAUGGCAAGGAUGUAUAAUGAUUCGCUUUGGCUGCUAGUUUGAAAUCCUAUUCAUGGGUGAAAAAAAACCCCACUCGCCUUUGCAGUCAGGCUUCAUUCUUUCUGCAGCAUGUUUUUCAAACCAGGCCAUUUUACAAGUGAUCCGUAGGAGAGAUUUCCUGCUCUCCUGGGUGUGUGCUCAAAGCUUUUUUCAGUCUUGCAAGGGCAGGUCACAAGAACAAAAACUGAAGCUAUCAUAUGCCUCCCUUUGAGGGAAAGGUUGGUUGUCUUGCAGUUCUCUCUCUAAAACUCUAUUUCUGGGCGUUUAGUGUUUAGGAAAGGUGGUGGACUUGAAAUCCUGAUCACAGUAAAUGCCAGGGAUAGGUACAAGGCUGGUUUCCAGCAGCAUUCCUUGGUGCCUGGUGGGAGAGGGUGUAAAUCCUCACCUGCAGCAACAGCCUUGUGGAAAAGGUUUUAAUAUUUUUUCCAAUUGCAUUUUUGAAAGGCAAAGAUGCCAGGGCUCCAGCAAGCUGCAGGGAAAGUGAGCUCUUCUCUGGAUCCAGCUUCUCUUCACAGGGGGAAAAAAAUGCAUGUUCCUACAUGGCAUUGGCAAAUACAGAGUAAUUAACCUGAGGUAAAAUCCCAAAGUAGACAAAGUAUUAAUAAAUGUGAACUGACAGAGAUAAGCCCUGAGGACCUCAUCUAUCUUCCCCAUGCUUUAGCAGGUCCAAGUGAAGCUGAAGUUGUCUCACCUGUUCUGCCUUGUGUGGACUGACAGGGUAAGCACAGGCCUUGCACUGGGUAAAGCUGGCACCUUGUGAGUCCUGAAUGCCCCCACCCCCCAUCACUGCUGCUUCUGAGGAAUCUGUUGAACCUCAAGAGAGUUGUCCUGAAGGAUGACAGCUCAGAGUGGCACUGUCCUGGUGCUCAAGAGCAAAUAUGGCUGCAACUGAUCCCAGUACUGACCCCAGCACCCCCUCAGCCACUAUUGCUGGGGGGCAGUGCAGGGAAGGGUUUUGCCAGGUUGGCUGGACAUUGGAGGAGAAGGUGAUCCCAGCAGCCCAGAGCUAUCUGGGUUGCCUUCACUGAACAGGGAAAAGCUGCAGGGACUCAUCCUAACCCAAAUGGAUCAGCUCAUACAGGAAGAUAACUAGCUGGCAGAGGAAAAGGGUAUGAUCUGUGCCCAUUCCUAUGAGCCUGCAAACCUCCUUGACUUUUAUCUGGCUGAUGUUCAGUAUUAUCUGAACACUUUUCCUGGCAACAGCACCAAGAACAAUUCAAAUGGCACUCACUUCACUACUGGAGGCACAGCUCUUGUGUUUCUCCACCAGCAAAUAAAGAGCAGAGCCGAGCCUUCAUAUAUGUCUUUUCUGGGAACUGAUGCUUUCUAAGAAUUGCUUACAAAGAAUUAAGUGAUCUAUUUGGUUGUCAUCCAGAAGUCCUGGGCUUGGUAAAUGAUCUUGCACAAUUCUUUUUUCCAGGAAGAUACUCCUUCAAGAAGGUCUCAAGGAUUUGCCUGUGGUAGGCAAAACAGGGCUCCCUUGAAUAAAAUAACCCAGAGCAGGCAAAUAAAUGGAAUGUCUUUCAUUAUACCUGUCACCAGUUUAUUUACUCUGUGUCCUCUUUCUGCCAUAAAAAUCUUGAGUGAUUUCAGCACAGUAAAACAUCUGCACUCAUUUUCAGAAAAUAACAACUGCCAAUGUAUGAACUCACUAUUUUCUCAGAACGCCUAUUGUUCUGUGUCCGGCCCUUAUUGUUUCUCAUCUCCUGUGAGUGGUUUACAAUCAAAUCCGCUUUAUUUACAGUGGAAAGCAAAAUAUGUCAGAGCAAGACAAUUGACUAUAAGCCUUCAGUCAAUAACAGCUUAUUUUUGUGCAUGCUAAAAUGUAGUAAUUUCUUGCCUUCAUUGAAACCGGUGGCAAAAUUCCCAUUGGGAGGUGUCAGUUCAGUCCCGUGCCAGGUGCUGGGCUCCUGCUAAGCCUAAGUUGGUACACCUUACCAUGCACCUUCUAAACCUGGAUACAGCACACACAGACCAUCUUUCCACAGGCUCCACAAGCCAUCGUGCAGUGAGCACUCACAAUUAAGGCCUUGUAUCAAACAAUACUUUAGCAUUGUUCAACUGGUUUGGUGCUUAGGGACUUUUGUAAGAUACUGAGCUGUCAGCAGGCAGAUCAUCUCUAUCCCACAGUGUCUCAGUCUUUACUCUUGGUUUGUGGCCAACAUCAACUCCCACUGAAGGCCUUUCUUAUAUAGUUUUCCAGUGAAUGCUUUCCAUGGGGUCAUCACAUCUCAGAGAUAAACACUGAAAAGCUGAAGCGUGCUAUUAAGCUUCUUAAAACAUUAGAAAGACAAUCAUUUUGACAGAAGAGAUGUUAAUCACACUUCUAUAAAAGCUUUUCCUCUUCAAAGCAUUUAACCAACAUUAAUUACAGGUAAUUGGCUUUUCCACAUACAUCAUGCAAAACACACCUUUCAUGUCACUUGUCUCUGCUAUCUUACCCGGGAUUUCUGAGACAAAGCUGUGCCUCUCCAGUGCAGCACAGCUUCCUGAAGCCACCUGAGGCCUCAUCUUGCAAAUCCCAAAGGGCAACAUUUACAACAGCAGUUGUACAGAAUACAGACACCUCAGCUGAACUGAGAGAUCUGGGAAAAAAAUAAUGCCAUCCCACUCGGGUGACUGCAAAGCUGUGUCUCCAUUUCCCCGACAAAAUCAUCUGAGGAGACUCUCUGAAAUUUUGAUGUCCCCCUUGCCUGGGGACGUCCCUGUCUUCACCAGGCCUAUCUAGGUCCCACACCCACAUUCUGGUGUCUGCCCAAAACGUCCAGGACGCCCUAGCCAGAAGCAAGCUGCUCUCUGGACUCCAGCAGCACUGCAUUUGAUAGGCUAGAGUAAAAAGAGAAGAGACCACAUUUUCCAUGGAUACCUUGUGUCGAACCACUUACCCAAGAAGUCGAGAACUUGGGUCCACUCCCUUCAUCUGCUGGGGGAUGUCUGAAACCCCCAUCUGCCACCACCUGCCUUGCUUUUCUUGCAUGACCUUUUCAUUGGAACAACUGCUACAUUCAGCCACAAACAACCUGAGAAAGUUAAGAUUUUUAUUCCAUUUUACAGCAUGUGUGAGACAAAAAAACUUUCUUGCCCAGUGAACUGUCAGGAUUCAGCUAGGAAAUACGAGUUCCAUGUGUCCUUGGAAGAGCUGGCUAGUAUUCAAGCUCCCUGUUGCUCAGGGCUGAAAGAAAAGGAUUUUGGAAGCAUAAGUCACAAAACAGUAAAUUUCACCCAAAAGGCCAAAUGAAGAAAAUGCCCAAGAAAAGAAAAAAACAAAAAUGUUUACAGGGACUAGUGCACAGAGAAUUUAUCCUGGACAUGAGCACUGGUUGGAGGAUAAGGUUCACAACAGGUAAGAAAUAAAACCCAGGCACUAUCUGGGAUCAACAGCACCACUCAGGUCAGGAGAUAGGUGAAGGUCCUGAUAAGUGUCUUCCCUCUGUUUGGCUGCCUUUCAGAGGGCAGUAUUGAAGGUGAUAUUAUGCUUGUUUUCAUAUUCAGUGUAGAGCUAUUUACAAGCUGAUUAGCUCCAUCACUGUUUAUAUAUGUAGCUAACAGAGCUAAAAAAUGUGCUGUUAGUUCAAUGGCUCAUGAAGGUAUGAAGGCUCCACCUGGCAGCCUGGCAUUCCUGCAUUGCCUUGAAGUAAAUAAAGGUGCUUUCCCAAAAGUUCAGGACUUUGCUAACUUUUAUUCUUGGCCCUCAACUUUUAUUCUUAACCCUAGAUGGCUGCAAAGCCCUCUUGCCCCCUUAGCUGGAGUGGCUGUUUAUUUUGAAGACAUCUUCACGACCUCAUUCUCAAGAUUAUAAUUCAGUUGUUGGCCACACAGUUCUGUCAGACUACUCCCACCCUGGAAGUUAAGUAAAUGGUUAUUAAGUAAGUGUGUUAUUGGUUCAGAACGAGGAGACUCCACCUUGCUGGAUUGAGCCCUGUAUUCAUAUUUCCUUUUAAACUUCUCCAAGUAAGCCCAUACAGGCUGGCAACACUGAGUGCAACGUUACAGGAGAUGACUGUGGCAAUUUCUGAAUGACAAGAGCAUUUAAAAGAAAUGUCAAGAGUCUGUGGGCUGCAAGCUUUUAUGUUUCAAGGAGAAACAAGAACAAAGGAGGGACAAUAAAUCAAACGCAACAGCUUAGCAUGCUCCAUGUCUGAGAGUUAACCUCUUGAAAGCCACGUCCCUGACACAGCGAGGGCCACACUCCUUUGAUCGGGUCCAUUAUUUUGUGCAAAGUGAUGGAAGCAGCAGGGUGGGCACCUCUGUGCAUGCCCAGGGGCCAUGUACACUGUGCUUUGCUUGACAUGUGCUAUGCAUUUAUGGGUUAACAUCAAACAUGAGCUGAUUUAUAAUUUUUAAUCAAAAAAGGAUUAUAACCUAAUAAAUCAUAAUAACGUA